rnacentral:tRNA from 1 species
GACGGGGCGCCGGGGGUGGCUUUGCUGCCGUCCUUCACGGGGGCGCUGGGGCUGCGGUUCGAGGUCGUGCCCGGUCUC